GACGUAGGGCGCGAGCGUUGUCCGGAUUUAUUGGGCGUAAAGAGCUCGUAGGCGGCUUGUCGCGUCGAAUGUGAAAACUCGGGGCUCAACUCCGAGCUUGCAUUCGAUACGGGCAGGCUAGAGUUCGGUAGGGGAGGACUGGAAUUCCUGGUGUAGCGGUGAAAUGCGCAGAUAUCAGGAGGAACACCGGUGGCGAAGGCGGGUCUCUGGGCCAUUACUGACGCUGAGGAGCGAAAGCGUGGGGAGCGAACAGG
rnacentral:rRNA from 1 species